GACGAACGCUGGCGGCGUGCUUAACACAUGCAAGUCGAACGGAAAGGCCCUGCUCUUGUGGGGUGCUCGAGAGGCGAACGGGUGAGUAAAACGCGUGUAUCCCGUCCCUGUCUUAGGGAUAACACUUGGAGACUCCGGCUCUAAUCGCAUAGGAGCUCUUGCUGCACGUUGUGGGACGGUAAGAUUCGGCGUUUGGGGAUGGACGCGCGGCUUCUCAGCUUGUUUGUGUGGUAGUGGCUUACCAAGGCUUCGAAGGGUAGCCGGCCUGAGAGGGUGACCGGCCACAUUGGGACUGAGAUACGGCCCAGACUCCUACGGGAGGCAGCAGUGGGGAAUAUUGCGCAAUGGGCGGAAGCCUGAUGCAGCGACGCCGCGUGCGGGAUGACGGCCUUCGGGUUGUAAACCACUUUCGCCGGAGACGAAGCGUGAGUGACGGUAACGGAUAAAGAAGCACCGGCUAACUACGUG
rnacentral:rRNA from 1 species